rnacentral:rRNA from 1 species
GACGAACGCUGGCGGCGUGCUUAACACAUGCAAGUCGAACGGAAAGGCCCUGCUUUUGUGGGGUGCUCGAGUGGCGAACGGGUGAGUAACACGUGAGUAACCUGCCCUUGACUUUGUGAUAACUUCAGGAAACUGGGGCUAAUACCGGAUAGGAGCUCCUGCUGCAUGGUGGGGGUUGGAAAGUUUCGGCGGUUGGGGAUGGACUCGCGGCUUAUCAGCUUGUUGGUGGGGUAGUGGCUUACCAAGGCUUUGACGGGUAGCCGGCCUGAGAGGGUGACCGGCCACAUUGGGACUGAGAUACGGCCCAGACUCCUACGGGAGGCAGCAGUGGGGAGUAUUGCACAAUGGGCGGAAGCCUGAGGCAGCAACGCCGCGUGCGGGAUGACGGCCUUCGGGUUGUAAACCGCUUUCGCCUGUGACGAAGCGUGAGUGACGGUAAUGGGUAAAGAAGCACCGGCUAACUACGUG